rnacentral:RNase_P_RNA from 1 species
GAAGUAAACCGGGUGGUCGCCGUUCCGGCUUCGGCCGGAAGGGAGGAAAGUCCGGGCUCCACAGGGCAGGAUGCUCGGUAACCCCGAGUGAGGGUGACCUCAAGGAAAGUGCCACAGAAAACAGACAGCCUACCCGGCGGAAGGUUUCUUCCGCCGGCGGCGAUGGUGAAACGGNNGAUGGUGAAACGGUGAGGUAAGAGCUCACCAGUGCUGCUGGUGACAGCGGCAGCUCGGCAAACCCUAUCCGGAGCAAGGUCAAAUAGGAAAGCGCUUGAGGAUGGCCCGUCCGAUGCUUUCGGGUUGACCGCUCGAGCCUGUCGGCAACGGCAGGCCUAGAUUGAUGACCGCCCCUUCUCCCCUCGGGGAAAAGGACAGAACCCGGCUUAUGGUUUACUUCGGAU